CUCUUAUUGAUGGAGGAGGAAAAAUUCACUCUUGGCCUGGAGGCUGGGAGCCGGGGUGCCGCCAUAGUGCUUCAAUUCCCUGAGCCAACGGAGAAGGCAGCGGGGCUGAGAAACUGGACCACAUGACGUCAUCCUGAUGACAUCAUCCAGACUCCCACAUCCAGCCAAACCCGUGACCUGGAUCCCAGGGGCCCUCAGGCAGAGGCCAGCGGAAACUGUCACUCUAUCCUCCCAGCUCUACCGAGGAUGGCCCUUGGGUGGAACUUAAGGACGUGGAUUACAUGACACUGGGAAACCUCACCGUAUGGCGAAAAACCCUUGACUUUCAGGCCAGUGUGUUCUGCAUCUUUAGGACUAGCCGGAGGUUUCUGGAACACCUUUGACCGGUCACCACUCUCGAGUGGCAACAGCAAGGAAAGUGAGUUCCUGUCCAUCUCAGACAUGGUGGAAUGAUUCAGCCCUCUGCGUACACUGGCUCUUUCCAGAAUCAUCGUUUAUCUCCUGGGCUAGGGCAGCGCUGAAGGUGCACUUGUGGUGGGAAAGAGCGACACCUCUGAGAAAAUUAACUCUGAGCCUCCAGGCUCCUUCUAACGUGGUUGGAUGUUAUUUAAAAGGUAUUCAGAUAAAAGAGAAGCAAUUUAAAAGGUAGCAUCAGACCUGCCCUUUGCUCCCUGAACACCUGUCCUUAGCUGGAUGAUAGGGGAGGGCUGGUCUGGUUGCAGGUGAAGGGAGGUGAAUUGGCUUUGCUGGAAAAGACCCAUCCAUAGAAGGGGUAAGAAGGACAGUUAGAUGAGCCAGGAUCUGGAAUUCCCUGGGAUCACAGAGAACCCAGAAACCUCUUUUCUGUUGCUGAGCCGCGUGUCAGCUUGUGCGCCCGCGCUGGUGAUUGAAAGCUGAGGGUCUGUGUGGGUGGCCGUUUAUUUAAAUGCUCCUAAAAAGUCAGGGUUGAGGAGAAGUUGGUAACCUCGCCGUGCCCUUUGCUCUUUCGGUUCUAUCCAUCCGUUCCUUGUCAAGAACUUUCCUGGAGAGCUACACACCUGGGCACCCAGGAGCAGAACCAGCCUUCCAAGAAAUUGUUACUUGGGACAGAAUUGUCUCUGGGGUCGUCCAGCCACCCAGAAGGUGCCUUUCUUCCAUCCUCGUCCCGCCCCCCAGCCUCCAGCCAGACCACCUGCCACUGCCUCCCAUAGGCAGCCGGCGAGGCAAGAAAAACAGGCUUUCAGGCCAGAGACCUGUACUCUUAAUUCCAGCUCUCUCUUCACUGUGCAGUCUCGGGCAGGUUACGAAACCUUUCUGAUCCUCAGUUCCCUCCUCUGUACCACGGGGAGAAAAUGCUUGCCUCAGUUCUUUUUAUUUUUAUUUUUGGUCUUUUUGU